rnacentral:rRNA from 1 species
UACGUAGGGGGCAAGCGUUGUCCGGAUUUAUUGGGCGUAAAGAGCGUGUAGGCGGCUUUGCAAGUCCGUUGUGAAAACUCGAGGCUCAACCUCGAGACGCCGGUGGAAACUGCAAAGCUAGAGUCCGGAAGAGGAGAGUGGAAUUCCUGGUGUAGCGGUGAAAUGCGCAGAUAUCAGGAGGAACACCAGCGGCGAAGGCGGCGCUCUGGGCCGGAGUGACUGACACUGAGGGCGACGAAAGCGUGGGGAUAAAGCA